rnacentral:rRNA from 1 species
CGCCGAAUGAGUUUCUGACCUAUCAACUCGAGACGGCGGGGUAGAGGCCCGCCGCGGUAACGACGGGUAACGGGGAAUCAGGGUUCGAUUCCGGAGAGGGAGCCCGAGAAACGGCUACCACUUCCAAGGAAGGCAGCAGGCGCGCAACUUACCCUAAUCUCGAUUCGAGGAGGUAGUGACAAGAAAUACCGAUGCGGGACCCUACGGGUGCCGCGUUCGGAAUGAGUACGAUUCGAACCACCUAACGAGGAACGAUCGGAGGGCAAGUCUGGUGCCAGCAGCCGCGGUAAUUCCAGCUCCAAUAGCGUACGUUAAAGUUGCUGCAGUUAAAAAGCUCGUAGUUGAACGUUCGGGUUCCGCGGGACGGGGCCGCCCCGCGAGGGACGGCGCCGCCCCGGGGCUCGUGAUAUCUCAUCUCGCCGCCCGUCGCGAGGCGGACGGAGGGAUGGAUGAGGUUACCUGGAAAAAAUCGGGGC